UUCUUUUCCCCUUCUUUCUUCUUUCUCCUCUAUUCUCCACCACCAAAACAUUAACCCUAGCGACAACCUCCAACUGUCCUUCUGCGCGACCCAUCUCCCCCACCCUAAAAAUCCACCGACUUCACUUUGACUGCAAAAGCAGGCACUAUUUGGUACCAAAAAAUCAAAAUUGCUAUAAGUAGCCUAAAAGGCAGAGGUUGGAAUAGGUGUUGGAUUUGAUUGCAAAAUCCAUUCUUUUUCUUCUUCUCAUUUUCAAUUUUUGAGGUCUCAAAUCCGAACUUUCAAGUCCGAAUUUAGCACCUAUAAAUAUGGUGUUUUCAUCCCCUAUGAAGGCAAGAAACUUUGAGAGAGAGAAAUCCGGGAGAAGGGUUCAAGAUCUGGAAAAGGGGGAACGAGUGAAAAUAUGAGAGAAAGGCAAAUUUUGAGAGAAAUUUUCGAUCUGUAAGAAAGAAAAAUUCGCGAGAAAGCAAAGAGAUUGGAAGUUUCUAAAUCAAGAAAAAAAAGGGAGACAAAAAAAAUGAAGUAAGGAAAAUUGGUCUUGUUUUUUUAUUUCCAGAAUACAUGUUUUGGAAUAAGUUUGGAAUAUGUUCUGAAAAAGAAAAGUUUUUUCCAAAGUUGCUAUUUCUUUUUUAUUUUGGUCAAGUCGGAGUCCGAUAGUUGAGUUAUUUGUCGAUGAAAAAUCCCUAGGCAUUGAGGCUCCCAUUUGCUAUGCCAACAAAGAUGUCAAAGGAUAAGAAAUGCAAGGUAUAUAUAUUCAUUCGCUACCACAUACAAGGUAUAUUAUUUUCAAUAUUAUUAUAGUAAUUAUUUUCAUCAUUAUUAUCAUUCAUUAUUAUUGCCAUUAUUAUUUAUACAACCAUUAGUACUAUUAAUUAUUAUUAUUAUUAUUAUUAUUAUGGUUUAAACGACUUCAUAUGUUAUGCAUUAUAUUAUUAUUAUUAUUAUUAUUAUUAUUAUUAUUAUUAUUUUAAUUUCAACCCAUUCAUAAUCUUUCAUAUAUUCCCUCACAUACUCUUAAAUAUACUUUUCGUAAUUAAAUUUUCGCGUCAUGAAAAAAAAUAUAUUUGCUUAUGUUUUAGUCAUAUACUUAAACUUCACAUGUCUUAAAGUUUCUUUAUAAGAUCAUAAGAUUUUUCACUUUCUGAUGUGUAAAUUACAUUAUUAGCCUUUUCGUAUCCUACAAAUAUUCAUAUUUUGCGAUAAUUAUAUUACUUCCUUGUACAUGGUAGCGUCUUGUUUACUAUACUUUAAAAUUCCUUGUAAAUAACGAUAGUGAAUAUAUGACAAAAAAAUUUUCAACACAUUUUAGCAAAUAACGAAGCAAUGCUUUCCUAAAUUGAGUGUAAGAACUAUCUUUGGAUAUACUCUGCGGGUUGCCUAACACUUCCCCUCGAGUAACCAAAGUCCUUACUCAAAAUCUCAAAAAUGUUUCGAAGGACCAAAACAGAGUUCUUCUACAUAAUAAUAGUUUUUUCCUAAUUUUUCUAAAAAGUUAGGUGGUGAAUCUAAAAAAUAAUUUUGAAAACCCAAGAGUCACGACACGCCAGCACAUGUUAUGUGUUGUUUCAACCAGUUCAAAAUAGGGCGCGACAUAUGUCACGAUCCAAAAAUGAGUCGCGGUGUACCUUGACAAGUAAGCCUAUCAUCCAAACUGAUACAGAAAGAGAAAAAGACGGAAACAUCUCAAGGUAAGGCUUUUAGAACGAAGCCGAAUCAUAUAAGUAAUCAUAACAAUGCAGAAAGAACUUAUCCAAUAUACCAAUCAUUCCCAAAACCAAGUGUCAAUAGUGUAAGAACUACUCAUAGAAUCCAGGAGUCAAAUACAUCAGAAAAAUAAUCGAAAGAAAAUAAUAUCUAUCUCUGAAUACUAAUAAAUACAUAACUACUAUAGAAAGAUAGAGGUGAACUACGGACUCAUAAAUGUCCAGUCACUAUCUUGAAAGCUCCAAUAAUCACCUAAGUCAAGCAAGUUGAGGCACACUCGAUCUAGGACCUACACCAAAAGGGUGUAGUAGGCAUGAGUACGGUCCACUUGUACUCAGUAGCUAUCAUAGGCCAAUCAAUCAAAGUAGCAAAUAAAGCAUAAAAAAUAUACACUAAGGGCACGUCACCUGUAAUCAGAAAAUAUCCCACAACGGUAGCCCACACCUCUUGCACUAACAGUUCUAGAAUUGUAGACACCUAAUUUUGUCCCUCUCCGAUAUCACUUUUACUCAUUUUUACCUUAUCCUAUUGCGUACCCUCACCCAUGUGAUUAUAUCCCACAAAAAUACAAAAAUAACAACCCUUUUAUAAUUUUCAAACAAAUUUCAUCUUAUUUUAAUCUUAUCCUAACUAACUUACCCUAUCCCACCUACCCUAUACCCUCACCCAUACCCCACUUCCUCUCAACGUGACUCCUCCCUUAUAUUUAUUUUCCAUAAAUUAAAAGGCAUAUACACACAGAUUCUAUCCAAUUGAGGAGGGGGGAUCACUCACAUAAUAUAUACAAUAUACAUAGAAGACAAAGGGAGGUCUGGUGGGUUUUUCCAGAGAGAGGGAUAAAAAGAGAGAGAAAGAGAAGCACAGAGAGUACUAUUUAUGGUUUUCUUCUCCAAGAGGUCGUACAUACACAAAGAACCAUAAAAUCGCGCCCCACAUACUGAAAUAGAAUAAUCGAGAGAGAGAGAGAGUCACAAAGAGAGAGAACACAAGUUUUGCGGGUUCGUUACUAUUCCAGUGAUAGACUCAUCGAAAAUGCAUUGGAGCCCUCACAAAUACUUACAAACCUAUCGAAAUAGGUUGCAAUUAGUAUGACUGUGUUUGUUUUCGGUCAUCGUUGAGGUUAUCGAAGUCGCGACAUCAUAUAGCAGUCAAUCUAAGCUCGAUCCGCUUCCAAUUCCGUUCAAACUUGUUUGAAUACAGUCCAAAGUUCUUUUAUUCUCACGAUUUUUAGCUCAGGUCAAAUUGGUUUUCAGUCUCUUUUGAAUUUUUGAUGCUUUUGGUUAGUAUGUCUUGGUGAUUCAUUGUCGAAAUCAGGUUUCGAGUUCAUUGAUUGUUGUUUUGGGCUUGAGAUUUGGGUCUUCCAAUCAUCUCGACCAGUCAUGGGUUUCAAAUUCUUCAAUAUCAGAGUUGGAGGUCGUCACUAUUGAGGUUCUAUUCGGGAUUCUCGGAUUCGGGCUUCUUUAAUUCUAUAUUAUCUAUGAAAUUGAUUCUCCGAAAGUCCAUCUCCUAACUUUGCUCUUUUAUUUUCUCAAAUUUUAGUUAAUAUCAUGAUUUGUGGUGUGGUAGAUUUUGAAAAGCAAUUUGAUAGCCGAAUUGGUUUAAUCACGUGAGUUUUGGGAGGGUCAGAGUUCAAACAUUGAUAAAAGUGAAUAUUAGUUCAUGGUGAUUUAUGGAUAAACCUUGAUUCGGGAUAAGUAUCGACUUUGUUUAAAUUCGAUAGUCUCAUAGUUUAAGUUAACAAUUAUUAGGCAAACGAUAGGGGGAAGCAUGUAAGAAUGUCGGAUUGGUGAAUGCUUGAAAUGUGUGUUUAAUGGUUUUCACUUAUCACUUUUGGAUCACUUAUAAUAUUUGGUCGGGGAAUGCCCCAAAGUAUCUGUAUAUAUUUAUUCACCGGGGAAUGCCCCGAGGUAUCUUGUACCCAGAGAAUAUUCGUGAUGAAGGCCCAACGUGUCGGGUAAAGCACGGGAGUGUAAUUAGGAUUAGUAUAGGUCAGAUAGGAUUUAUUUUCAUAUUUUUCUAUUUUGGGCUGUAUAAAUUGCACCGGACACUAUAUUUUUGGAUUCAUUUUGUUUUCUUUGUUUGUUUGAUUGUUUUACGUGUUUUUUAGUGUGGUUUAUACAUUCAUAGUGUCAGAUUAGCCGAUACGCUCCACCAAGCGACCAUUGUCAAACCACGGGAUCGAGGAGUGCCUAACACCUUCCUCUCGGUCAAUAGAAUUUCUUAGCCAGAAUCUCUGUUCGCAGAUCAGUUUUAAAGAGUCAAAUCAUUUUAAAAAGGAUCUUUCAAAGGUGACUUGUCACACCGGAUUAUGUCAAGUGGAGACUCUGAAUAAAAAAUGUAAAUAAUCCUUUUUCGAAAUAAAUUUUUAAUCUCAUGUCACUUCGAUAAUAAAAACC
rnacentral:lncRNA from 1 species